rnacentral:lncRNA from 1 species
UUGGCCCCCCGAGGGCCCUAGGGUUGUUUUCUGAUAAGGACCAAUGCGAGUGUGGCCGAAUUCGGCCGAAAACGGCCAAAAACAGCCAACCCGAGGCGACUCGCCGCCGCCAGCGGCGGCGCCGUCGCCGGAGCACGGCGGAGCCGCCGUGCCGGAGUUGCGAUUUGGUCCGAAAGGGGCCCUGGGCCUAAUUUGGAUUUUUUUGGAACACGUGCAGGUACUGUUAGCGUGUUUCAGUUCCCCGGGAAAAAUUCAGGGAAAAUU